rnacentral:rRNA from 1 species
UACAGAGGUCUCAAGCGUUGUUCGGAUUCAUUGGGCGUAAAGGGUGUGUAGGUGGCGCCGUAAGUCAGGUGUGAAAUUUCGGAGCUUAACUCCGAAACUGCAUUUGAUACUGCGGUGCUCGAGGACUGGAGAGGAGACUGGAAUUCAUGGUGUAGCAGUGAAAUGCGUAGAGAUCAUGAGGAAGACCAGUGGCGAAGGCGGGUCUCUGGACAGUUCCUGACACUGAGACACGAAGGCCAGGGGAGCAAACGGG